UCGUCGCAUCCUGGGGCUGGAGCAGGUCCCAAGGGUUGGGCUGUUCGCCCAUUAAAGCGGCACGCGAGCUGGGUUUAGAACGUCGUGAGACAGUUCGGUCUCUAUCCGCCGCGCGCGUCAGAAACUUGAGGAGUGCUGUCCCUAGUACGAGAGGACCGGGACGGACGAACCUCUGGUCUACCAGUUGUCCCACCAGGGGCACCGCUGGAUAGCCACGUUCGGCUAGGAUAACCGCUGAAAGCAUCUAAGCGGGAAGCCUUCUCCAAGAUCAGGUUUCUCACCCUUUUAGAGGGAUAAGGCCCCCCGCAGACCACGGGUUCGAUAGGCCAGACCUGGAAGCUCAGCAAUGAGUGCAGGGAACUGGCACUAACCGGCCGAAAACUUACCAACACACC
rnacentral:rRNA from 1 species